rnacentral:rRNA from 1 species
GAUCCUGGUUCAGGAUGAACGCUAGCUACAGGCUUAACACAUGCAAGUCGCGGGGCAGCAUGAAGGAUGCUUGCAUUCUUUGAUGGCGACCGGCGCACGGGUGAGUAACGCGUAUCCAACCUGCCUGUUACCACGGCACAGCCCGUCGAAAGGCGGAUUAAUGCCGUAUGUGGUCCUUUGCGGGCAUCUAAUUAGGACUAAAGGUUUAGCGGUAGCAGAUGGGGAUGCGUCCGA